rnacentral:rRNA from 1 species
CCUACGGGAGGCAGCAGUGGGGAAUCUUGCGCAAUGGGCGAAAGCCUGACGCAGCCAUGCCGCGUGAAUGAUGAAGGUCUUAGGAUUGUAAAAUUCUUUCACCGAGGACGAUAAUGACGGUACUCGGAGAAGAAGCCCCGGCUAACUUCGUGCCAGCAGCCGCGGUAAUACGAAGGGGGCUAGCGUUGCUCGGAAUUACUGGGCGUAAAGGGAGCGUAGGCGGAUAGUUUAGUCAGAGGUGAAAGCCCAGGGCUCAACCUUGGAAUUGCCUUUGAUACUGGCUAUCUUGAGUACGGAAGAGGUAUGUGGAACUCCGAGUGUAGAGGUGAAAUUCGUAGAUAUUCGGAAGAACACCAGUGGCGAAGGCGACAUACUGGUCCGUUACUGACGCUGAGGCUCGAAAGCGUGGGGAGCAAACAGGAUUAGAUACCCUGGUAGUCCACGCUGUAAACGAUGAGUGCUAGUUGUCGGCAUGCAUGCAUGUCGGUGACGCAGCUACGCAUAAGUACACUCCGCCGUCGGGUACGGUACGGUCGGCGAGAAGUUAAACUUAAAGUAGUAGUAGACGNGUGAGACGUGCGACGGACGACGACGAGGGAGGAGG